rnacentral:rRNA from 1 species
AAUACGAAGGGACCUAGCGUAGUUCGGAAUUACUGGGCUUAAAGAGUUCGUAGGUGGUUGAAAAAGUUGGUGGUGAAAUCCCAGAGCUUAACUCUGGAACUGCCAUCAAAACUUUUCAGCUAGAGUAUGAUAGAGGAAAGCAGAAUUUCUAGUGUAGAGGUGAAAUUCGUAGAUAUUAGAAAGAAUACCAAUUGCGAAGGCAGCUUUCUGGAUCAUUACUGACACUGAGGAACGAAAGCAUGGGUAGCGAAGAGGAUUAGAUACUCUCGUAGUCCAUGCCGUAAACGAUGUGUGUUAGAUGUUGGAAAUUUAUUUUCAGUAUCGCAGCGAAAGCGUUAAACACACCGCCUGGGGAGUACGACCGCAAGGUUAAAACUCAAAUGAAUUGACGGGGACCCGCACAAGUAGUGGAGCAUGUGGUUUAAUUCGAAGAUACGCGCAGAACCUUACCAACACUUGACAUGUUUGUCGCGACUUUAUGAGAUUAAAGUCUUCGGUUCGGCCGGACAAAACACAGGUGCUGCAUGGCUGUCGUCAGCUCGUGUCGUGAGAUGUUGGGUUAAGUCCCGCAACGAGCGCAACCCUCACUUUUAGUUGCCAUCAUUUAGUUGGGCACUCUGAAAGAACUGCCAGUGAUAAGCUGGAGGAAGGUGGGGAUGACGUCAAGUCCUCAUGGCCCUUACGUGUUGGGCUACACACGUGCUACAAUGGCAUUUACAAUAGGAAGCAAGAUGGCGACAUCAAGCAAAUCCUAAAAAAAUGCCUCAGUUCGGAUUGUACUCUGCAACUCGAGUACAUGAAGCUGGAUUACUAGUAAUCGCGGAUCAGCGCGCCGCGGUGAAUACGUUCCCGGGUCUUGUACACACCGCCCGUCACACCAUGGGAGUUGGUUCUACCUUAAGGCAAAGUUUAAAACCUUUGACCACGGUAUAGUCAGCGACUGG